UACGAGGGGGGCAAGCGUUGUUCGGAAUUAUUGGGCGUAAAGGGUGCGUAGGCGGUUUGAUAAGUCAUCUGUGAAAUCUUCGGGCUCAACUCGAAGUCUGCACAGGAAACUAUCUGGCUUGAGUGUGGGAGAGGUGAGUGGAAUUCCUGGUGUAGCGGUGAAAUGCGUAGAUAUCAGGAGGAACACCUGUGGCGAAAGCGGCUCACUGGACCACAACUGACGCUGAGGCGCGAAAGCUAGGGGAGCAAACAGG
rnacentral:rRNA from 1 species